CCUAGGGGUGGCAGCAGUGGGGAAUAUUGGACAAUGGGCGAAAGCCUGAUCCAGCCAUGCCGCGUGUGUGAAGAAGGCCUUCGGGUUGUAAAGCACUUUCAGUGGGGAAGAAAGCCUUGGGGCUAAUACCCUCGAGGAAGGACAUCACCCACAGAAGAAGCACCGGCUAACUCCGUGCCAGCAGCCGCGGUAAUACGGAGGGUGCGAGCGUUAAUCGGAAUUACUGGGCGUAAAGCGCGCGUAGGCGGUCUGAUAAGCCGGUUGUGAAAGCCCCGGGCUCAACCUGGGAACGGCAUCCGGAACUGUCAGGCUAGAGUGCAGGAGAGGAAGGUAGAAUUCCCGGUGUAGCAGUGAAAUGCGUAGAGAUCGGGAGGAAUACCAGUGGCGAAGGCGGCCUUCUGGACUGACACUGACGCUGAGGUGCGAAAGCGUGGGUAGCAAACAGGAUUAGAUACCCUAGUAGUC
rnacentral:rRNA from 1 species